UGGUGCUAUAGUCCGAUGUCGGCCCUUAGCCUCCCGAGAUUUUUGUCUCUAUUCUUCUCUGUUAAGAGAACGCGUUUUCCAGUUUCGGAAACCGCGCACUGUAUAAACCACGUUAUCCACUGAGUUCUCCCAUCUGCUUCGUCGUUUUCCUGGUAGUCAUUUACCUUUCACCUUGCCUUUGACUAGUCGUCUGGGAGUUUUUUCGUCAUCUGCAUGGCCUGCCUAAUGAAGCUUUCCAUGUUAAUAUGGAUGCCAAUUGAUGCUGAUUCAUCAAGCUUCACCAGAGUUGAAUUUACCCCGCCUUCGGACGGUGUCAGAUAUCUAUAUCAUACGCAUAGAUCUCGGGUAAUUUACCAUUCAGAUUCACUGGCAUUUUUUAGGUAAUGUACUCCAGAGCGAUGACAAAAAAUGUAGAGGUCUUAUUUUAGUCGGGAGGCUGUAUUGAAAAAUUUUGUUACUUGGUUUCAAAUAAUAUUUUAUAAUGUACCGAUUGUGUGAAAUUGUGGAAUUGUGGUAUAUAAGAGUAAAAAAGUUUAAAGGUUUGGUGGA